rnacentral:rRNA from 1 species
CCUACGGGAGGCAGCAGUGAGGAAUAUUGGUCAAUGGGCGCGAGCCUGAACCAGCCAAGUAGCGUGAAGGAUGACUGCCCUAUGGGUUGUACACUUCUUUUAUAUGGGAAUAAAGUGCAGUAUGUAUACUGCUUUGCAUGUACCUUAUGAAUAAGGCUCGGCUAACUCCGUGCCAGCAGCCGCGGUAAUACGGAGGAUCCGAGCGUUAUCCGGAUUUAUUGGGUUUAAAGGGAGCGUAGGCGGGUUGGUAAGUCCGUUGUGAAAGUUUGCGGCUCAACCGUAAAAUUGCAGUUGAUACUGGCAUCCUUGAGUACAGUAGAGGUAGGCGGAAUUCGUGGUGUAGCGGUGAAAUGCUUAGAUAUCACGAAGAACCCCGAGUGCGAAGGCAGCCUGCUGGACUGUAACUGACGCUGAUGCUCGAAAGUGUGGGGAUCAAACAGGAUUAGAUACCCUUGUAGUC